GUAUGUGAAACAGUGGUUUGAGUGCUGGACUACAAAUCUGGGGUCCAGGGUUCAAUUCCCAGCUUGGCCA